AUACGGAGGGUGCAAGCGUUAAUCGGAAUUACUGGGCGUAAAGCGCGCGUAGGCGGUUAUUUAAGUCAGAUGUGAAAUCCCUGGGCUCAACCUAGGAACUGCAUCUGAUACUGGGUAACUAGAGUUUUGGAGAGGUAAGUGGAUUUUCCGGUGUAGCGGUGAAAUGCAUAGAGAUCGGAAGGAACACCAGUGGCGAAGGCGACUUACUGGCCAAAAACUGACGCUGAGGUGCGAAAGCGUGGGUAGCAAACAGGAUUAGAAACCCUAGUAGUCC
rnacentral:rRNA from 1 species